rnacentral:lncRNA from 1 species
GGAAAUCGAGCCUCUCCUUCAUGAAGCUGAACGGCAUGACUGCAAGAACGAUCGCGCACGUCAUUCGCUAGCUAUUUGAUCGAUCGAUCGGGCGACAACAUGUUGGUCUGGGCGACUGGGCAUGCUGCGGACACUUACAUGAGGUGAAGUUGAACUGCCUGACGCUGCCAACGCCGCCGUCGCCCUCCACGGGGUGGGCGCUGGCGACGACGUGGGAGGCGACCUUGGGCGCCAGGGUGUGCCAGUCCAUCACGGCGGCGCGGAACAGGCGCGGCGCGGCCACCGGCGACGGAAUCUCCAGGGUCCAGCUGCUGGCGGAGGCCAUUACUUCAGUGAUCGGCCGAGAUAAACUAAACUAGGUGCGAGCCGAAGCUGCUUAGGUGCUUGUGCUGCUGCAGGUGGUUUUAGGAUUGCGCUUUUGCUUGCGUUGCCAUUAGAGUGGCGGACGGAGGACUUUAAAUAGGCGGUUAUGGCGGGGUUGGUGGCGUCCCGUGAGGAUGAGACGCUCGGGAGUCGUCGUCGGCGGCUCUUCCCACUUUGGCUUGGCACGGCACCGUCGCUCGUCGGUCCAUGUAGUUCAUUAUAAUAUACUACAUGUUGCCGGGGUUGCGGACAAACGUCUGGAAACGUGCUGCCAUUCCGUCAGCGUUCAACCCCUGAAGGUGUAGAAUAUAUAUCGUCGAAUUGGCGAGCCAAAUCAGCUUCCAGAUCAAAAAGCAUGUACUGUAAGCGUGGGUUGGUGUCAUUAGAAACGAGAAUUAUACCGUACGUGAGCGUCCUGACUACUUGCAUCACUCUUUUGGUGUCGCACUGUCGCUAUUAACUACUAAUAAUAAACAUAAUCCUGUAAAUCCACCUCUUUUUAAUCAUCCUAUAAAUACCUCUACUGGCGACAGCAUGGACAAAGCUCAUACGGAAAAUAACAUAGUGGUGGCCAAAGCUGUAUGGGAAAAUAUUGAUUGCAGACUAUCAAUUGGGUGCAAAAGUACUCAGUGUAAACUAUUAAUUAAGUGCAAAUAUAAAGACAAUUGCUAUGUCACAGUUGAUUGUUUUAGCCUCCGUGAAUAACUGAUUUCCUGGCCGUUUGAUUCUUAUCACGUGGGAUGAAAGAAAGACCAACAACGCUGCGGAAGCAGAGCGUGAGGAAGGACCGAAGGAGCCACCAGGGGUCCACUGAUGUCGCCAUUAGCACCAAGGAGAGGCCGUCGUCAGAGUCAGAGUCAGGGUUGUAGAGGGCUAUCACGUCCGUUGUCGAGGUCGGGGUGGGGUAAAGAUGGCAAUGGAUAAUUACCCGCUGGGUAUAUGCUACCCAUACCUUUACCGAUGAGAAAAUAUUUUACCCGUUAAUUUACAUAUCCAUGUAUGGGUAAGAGUUUUUUCCCAUACCCUUACCCACGUGGGUAACGGGUAAUCCAUGAGUUUUCUUACCCAUGAUUCUAAGAAUACUUGUAAAAAAUAAAUACAUAUUUAAAUAUUCUAGACUCCCAAUUUCAGCCAAAGUAUCAUAAGUCAUUAAUAAAAUCAUCAAAUAUACAAGCUCCAUGAAUACCUAAUCAAGUAAUCUAAUAGAUAAAUCCAUCAUUACUAGACAACAAGUGACAAAAUUUACAAGUUUCCGUGUUGUGCGGCCGCCGCAAGGAGAUAGGGGAAAGGUGAGAGAGCGGAUGUGUGAGGUACUAAGGUGAGGGCCUAGAGUUUGACAGCAUUAUAUAUGAUUUUUAUUGGACUUGGCCUGUGUAUGGUGAUUUUGGUCCAUAAUUCUAACUUAUUGAAUCGGGUCCAAUCCCAUACCCUUACUCGCUUUACCCGCUGGCUAAAGCUUUUUCCCAUUAUCUUACCUAUGGAUAAAAAAAAUAGUCAUACCUUUACCCUAAUGAAGUAAUUAACCAUCGGAUUUCGAGUAAAAAUUGACAUCUUUAAGGUGGGGAAUGGCCGCCGCAUCUACCAUAGCCACCUGCUUCCUGAGAUCCAUGGGGAAAGAGCCCGCCGCUAGCCGAGGGUGAGGAGCCGCCGCCUCUGUGUGGCCAACUUCAUGUCGGGCCUCUACCGUGGCGGGGGUAGCUCACAGAAGGGAAGGGAUAAAGUUGGUGAGGGUGGGUCCCACCAUAAUUGGUGAAUAAUUUGCCAUGUAUUUCUCUAAUAUCUACUAUCUAAAGAAAUAUUUUGUAUUUUUUUCUGAAAAGUUUGGCAUAUUUGUCUUUGAGAUAUGUAAUCUAUAAAAAUACCUAAGAUAUAUCACUAUAUCCAAUAAAUGACACUAUGUGUUAGCAUUUUCUCACUACAUUUUCAAAGGUGUUAACACACUAGAUUCUAAUGCAUAUGCAUUAUCAACAACAGCUAGUGACACUUGAUAAACCGCUUUUAACCAUAAUUUUCCUCUCUUUAUAGUACAGCUAUCUAGUCGACUAGUCCAAACCCAAUUAUAUCCUCUAUGGUAUCUUGAUUGGCGAAACAAGAAUGGCCCUAUCACAUACCUUUGCCUUAAGCUCAUUUUUAUUUUUCUCUUUCUUUUUUUCCAAGUUGGAGCACUUGAUCUUCACACUUGACCACCUCCAUCAUCUAUAGAUGCCAUAAUCUAGCUGGUGUGUACCAAUCCUAUUUCCUAUCUUAUAUACACCUAAAGCAAUGGUUAGUAGACUUAGAUCUCAUCAAUUAUCCGAAACUAAACUAGAACUUUCAUGUAGUGACACAACAUCUACUUUCUCUCACCCUUCCUCUUUCAUGGAAUGCAAGCAUUCAUACAUCAUUAGUAUGUUGUAUGUAAUGAGUCUCUCUAGCACAAACACCGACUGUUCUUCCGAAAUCACCUUUGGGAAAAAAUAAUCCACAGUCUGUUUGCCACCGUCUUAGAAGCAAUCUUAUAUAUCAUGUUACAUAGACUGAUGAUAGGCCAAAACAGCCCGCUCGACCAACUUCUCCACUUUUGUGAUCAAUACUAUUCAUGUGCUAUUUAUCACAGAAGGAUCAUCCUCGCCACAUAAGUCCUAGUGCCGCUAAAAAAAAUGAGCAGGAAAACCAUCUGGCCCCGGCGUUUUUGUCUUAAACAUGUGAGAAAGCUUAGUCCUGAUCUCCUCCUUUCGUAUACAAGGCGAGUGUCCUGACAACUACUUGCAUCACUCUUUUGAUGUUGCACUAUCGUUGUUAGCCUUAUCAUUAACUCCUUUCCUCUCUAAUCUCUAGAAUUAAGCAAAGAUUUGAAUGCUUUCUCAAUUUACCAUCAUAUAAUUAUUAUAUUAUAAUAUAAUCAAAUAAAUACACCUCUUUUUAUUCAUCCCGCAAAUAUAUCUAGUGGCAAUGAGUAUGGAAAGAGCUAAUACGAAAACUAUCAUAGUGGUGGCCAAAUACAUGAGAAAAUAUUCAGUGCAAACUAUAGAUUGGGUGCAAACAUAAACCCUUUAUAACAUAAUUAGAUGUUUUCUUAAAAAAAUGCCCACUUCGCCACUAAAGUUAAGAUACAAAGAAAUGGGGUGGGGGUGUGAUGCAAAGAUAUUGGAGAGUGAAUCUCUUCUUUCAAACCUCCCAAGAAACUAGUCACAAAGUAAACAUAAUCGUAGGAGCUAUUGUACAAUAGAAUUUGAUGCGCAGGCUGUUCAAGCUACUCAAAUUACUGUGACCGAACUAGUCUACUGAAGAUGAUUGUUUCAUACAUAACUCAUAUUGGUCACGAUUAAAAUAAUUACAAACCGCAUCACAAGAGCAGGCCAAGAUGUGAAACAACCACACAACUCUUUAAAUUGUAACCAAGUGGCAGCGGUCCUCCAGAACUCAAUGCAACAGAGCUAGGCUUCAAUGUCUCGCUGAUAGAGUACAUCUCAAAAUAGAUCUUACAGUGAUCCUUCCACAACCAUAAAUUGUCACCAUCAAAUUUGGGGAAAUAUGAUUUGGGCAUCGGACCAACUGGAGAUGUAUAAGAAUAUGAAUGUUCCAUCGGUCCACCUAUCAUUCCCUUGUACUUGCGUGCCCGUUAGUUAGCUAUUAUGUUCCUCUUUUUUAUUGGAUCCCAAACACCUCUGCUUCUAGACCAACUUCCAUCGUCGUCUACACAUAUCCCAUGGAGUUAGAGCAAGUUUAAUUAAUACAGUCCACUUGCUGACUGUAAGGUUCCUUACAGCCUUCUUUCAGCCCCACCCAUACAAUAGUUAGUUAUUCAUUAUUAAUACAUGACUCACUUAUCUCUCUUACAAAGUUUUCAGCUUACAACAUGCUUCUCUUCUCUCUCCUCCACCUCAGUAUUUAGCCAGCUUACAGCCCACUAUAAUACUUGCUCUUAUGACAAAUGCCUACUUCUCUCGCCUUUUUAGUGAACACUAUAACUCCUGGAGUCUUCAUAUUAUUCGAAAAAUAAAUUCAAAUUUCAACAAUGACACAUUCAGCAGAAUAAAAAGUCUCCAAAUUUCUAUUAAAAAAGAGCAAACAUUCCUUAUUCAGUCAAACUUGCAAAGGAUUUCAAAACAGAAGACCUCGUAUAACCAUGAGGGUGUAAGUAAUCUCACAAACAAAGCAUCACAAACCACUUAUAAUCUCAAGUCCAUACACGGUACACCACACACUGCAUAGAGCAACUUUAUUUUGUUUUGUAUGAAAAAAGAGGAAAACUCCAGGAAAGAAAAAAGAAAAUUAAACCCAAACUUCAGGAAGGGGAAUCGCAUCCCAAUCGACUGAUUUAGUUGUAGGCGUCGGGGUUGGCGACGAGGUAGGCCUCGGCACCCUUGAAAAUGGCGGUGACUGCCUCCUUGGCCUUGACUUCCUCGUCCUUCUCGUCUACGCCAGGCAGCAGCUUGUAGGUCGACUCCACCUUCACCACGCUGCCGCCGCCGGCCGCGGGCUCCACCUUGAUGUGCGACGCCGCGGUCUCGAUGGCAACACCGAUGCCGCCGCCCUCGACGAGCGUGUUCUUGCACUCGCACUUGUCCACGUCCAGGAAAUCGAGCCUCUCCUUCAUGAAGCUGAACGGCAUGACUGCAAGAACGAUCGCGCACGUCAUUCGCUAGCUAUUUGAUCGAUCGAUCGGGCGACAACAUGUUGGUCUGGGCGACUGGGCAUGCUGCGGACACUUACAUGAGGUGAAGUUGAACUGCCUGACGCUGCCAACGCCGCCGUCGCCCUCCACGGGGUGGGCGCUGGCGACGACGUGGGAGGCGACCUUGGGCGCCAGGGUGUGCCAGUCCAUCACGGCGGCGCGGAACAGGCGCGGCGCGGCCACCGGCGAUGGAAUCUCCAGGGUCCAGCUGCUGGCGGAGGCCAUUACUUCAG